GACGGCGGCGACCGGAGUUGGGUUACCGGUGGUUUUGGAAGUUUGGAGAGAAGAGUUUUUUAUCUGUGAAACGAAAAAAAAUGGAAGAAGCCUCGAGAAGCUAUUGUAACCUCCUACUUAUACUCCUUGAAGAACUGAAUUUUUGGGCGAGGCUUGGCUGCUAGGCUUUAUUGACGUUUAUGCAGGUGUGAAGUGUUGGCUUGUGCGUUUAAACAGCGCCUAGAAGCCACUCUUGUUGGCAGCUUGGAACACGUUUUGGAAGCUUGGAGUGAGUUGUUGUUCUAGAGUAAUGUCACUUACGUUUUGGAUGGUGACAGUGCGCCGCUUAUGCCAGUCGUGUUUGGAAUGUUGAGCUCUUCUUUGGACGUAUUGGCUUGUGCAGCGUUUGCUUUAUGCUGCAGUUGGCGUUAGCGCUGUGUUUUGCAGCUUGAGUUUGGCUUCACUUGCCUUGUGUUCAUGAAGCUUGUUACAGCUUUUGACCUCUUUUGUCGGCUUUGGUGCGCCGCCGUUUUGGUGGCUUGGACUUGAGCUUUGGUAGAAACCUUUGGCUCUUGUCUCGCCGUUGAGUGCUUGGCCACUUGGCUUACACUGUUCACGCUGUUGCGUUUCAGUUUGUGGUUUAGCUUUGUAUGUUGGCUUCGGUUUAGAAGAGUUAAGCUGAUUUUGUGAUGAUGUUCAUGCCGCUUGUGCCAGCUUUUGUAGCAGCUGAUGCCUAGUGUACCACGUUUCAGCUUUUCCAUUUGGCUUUGUUGCUGCUGGUUGGAGCGCGCGCUGUGUAGCAGCCGUUAGCAGCGUUUUUUCAUUUCCCUUUCUCUUAUUACUUUGUAUUAAAAUUGAUAAUAGAAUUGACUAAUGGAUAAUUGGAUUAACAAUGGUUUAA